AGAGUUAAGAAACAAUUAAUUGGCAUGUGACAAUCUGUCACCCCUUUGAUCACCAGGAUUGAUUGCACUGAUCUGGCUGGCUUGGUGGGUGUCCCUUCCUCCCUCACUGCUCCAUGUACAUUCCUCCUGGACCAUUCUUUGGCCAAGGAUAUAGGAGUAGCUGUACUUCCUUGCUAGAACGUCCAAACAAGCUCUCGAGGUCCAUUUGUAGGAGACUAUAGGGUAGUCAAGCUUCUAAGACACCAGACAAAUCCAAAUGAGGUGCUGCAUGUGACAGUCUACCUUUCUAA
rnacentral:snRNA from 1 species